UUCUAGGGGUGUUUAGUUUUGUUUCCGGCUACAAGUGCCCUCACAUUUCUGCUUCUCAGGCAUCUCCGUUGGGACUGUGCUCCCUGAGGGCGCGCCGUGCCGGGCCGGGCAGCCGCGUUUGCAGCGCCAUGGCAACGGCGGGCGGCCACAGGCCCGGCGGCCCCGGCGGCCCCGGCGCUGCUCCCGCUGCUCCGCGGGCCCUCAGCGGUGCCAGCGCUUCUCCUUGGGACCUCAGCGGCCCCGGCGCUGCUCCCGCUGCCCCCCGCGACCUGAGCGCUGCUCCCGCUGCUCCCCGGGCCCUCAGCGGCCCCGGCGCUGCUCCCGCUGCCCCCCGGGCCCUCACGGGAGCCGGGAUGCGCUCCAAGAGGCUCACCACCGAACCUCCAUGUAUAACAGAAGAAAUGUUAGAAGCAUGCUUAGCCACAGAUAAUAUGCUUGUGGAUUACUUUAAUGAAUUUUUGAGUCUUCCGACUUUUGCCCAGCGAGUGAAAUUUAACUCUGUCGUUGGGGCUUUUGAAGUAGUUAAUUAUGCCCCAAGAUGCCUGGAAAGCCAGCCGAAAAAGAUUCUACAUGAUCAGAAACCUCCAAGCCCCAUUUAUGAUGUUCCAAGCAAAGAAAAGAAUGAUGGGCAGCUCUCCAAAAUGCACAGUGCUUCUUCAACCUUCAGUAUUGAUCCAAAUUACAACACUAUGCAACUUGAUCAAGAACAAGCAAUUAAGUGGAUUAAGAAAGAAAGGCUUCCAGCAUUUCUAGAAAGUGACUGUUACUUUGAAUACAGACUAGCUAAAUUGAUAUCACAGGUAGAAUGGAGCAAGACUGGCAUUAAUUUCAUUAUAGAUAGUGACUACUCUCCCUGGAUGUGGAAGCAAAGCCCAAGUUCUCCCCCUCCUGAGGAGGAUGACUCUUCAUUGACUAUGAAGAAGUUCUAUGUAUCACUUGGCGAGGCUACAGUUUCUCAGGUAAAGGAUUGGUUUACACUGGCAAAACAAGAUGAUUCUGUGAAACCUACAGAUUUAUGUAUGCAUCCUGUAGCUUCUAGUAAAAUUCAAGAUACUCAGCAUUUGCCUGGGCAGCACAAAAGAGAUGAAUCAUUAUCUGAAAAAGGUCCCCUUCUGGGGACAGCAUCUGCAAAAGCUGAUGUUACCAGUGAAAGAUCCAGAGAGGUCAAGGCCUGCUCUGUGGCCAUUGCUGAUCCUCCUUCCUACACACAGUCACAAGUUUAUCUAUACCCAAAACGGCACAGUGCAGCAAAAGAAGAAAAUGAACAGGGAAGCACAACUUUUCAGACAGUGGAAGAAUUCACACCAGCAUCCCCUCAAAUUGCAGUGGAGGAAGCCAUUUCAGAACCGAUCCACCAGCCAGCUGCUGACAUUGGAACCUCGGACUCCAAGGAAGAUGUAAGAAAACAAGAUCCUGAACAAGUAAGCUUAAGUUCAAGUCAUGAAAGUGUUGGGCCAGACAGCAGGGCUUCCUGGUGUAUUAGUCACAGGACUUACGACACUGGCAACAGACAGGAGUUUGAAAGAUUCAAGAGGUUCAUUAAAGGAACACUUGGGGAGAGGUACUGGUGGCUCUGGAUGGAUAUUGAAAGACUAAAGGCUCUUAAGAAUGCUACAAGGCAACAAAGGCAACUGAGUAAGAUGAAAAAACUGUACCUGCUGAGCAGUGGAGACUAUUUCCUCAGUUCAGAAGUGUUGCUCAGACUUGAACUACUGCAUGGAGAUCAGUGGAAUAUAAUGCAUUUAAGACGGAUUCAGCCCGAAGUAGUGAAACCACUACUUCUUUACUGGGGUCCCAGAUUUUGUGUCACUCAUUCAACAGCAAUAGAUGCUGCCAGUGCAAAACUGAAGUUCUGGCACACAUGUCAAGAGAGACCAAGAGUGGACAUUGAUCCUUUCCCACAAAUAGUAUCAUUGUUACCAUUGACCCAAAAGUCUGACAUACCACCUUCCCUUCUUCAGAGAUCAGCAGGAUUACUACCUACUCUCACAGGAAGUCAGAUUCUCCAAAGGGAUAUUUCCAGCAGUAGACUGUGGCCAGUGUCAGUGAGCACAGAUGUGAUUCAUAGCUUAGUUCUGGAUGGGACCAAAGAAAAAUACCAGGGUCAUAGAAAGUACACCUAUGCUGAGCUGCUCCAUGGGAAAAGUGCUGCUGGCAGUGUUGUCCUCAGGGGAUCAGGAAUUGAAAGCAUGUUGCAGUCUCUUUAUUUGGAGAACAGAGCAGGCUACUACUUCACACAAUUCUGUGAGAAGUCAGGGAAUAAGUUGUGGAAGAACUGCGUGUACUUUUGGUUUGACCUACAGGCUUAUCAUGAGCUUUUUUACCGAGAAACCCUUCAACAUUUUCAACUAUGCAAUCAAGCUCAAUUCCUUUAUGCAACUUACAUUGCUCCAUCUGCCAAUAUGGACAUUGGACUUCAUCAGAAUAAGAAAAAUAUGAUUUAUCACAAAAUUUACCCAGCUUUUGAGGACCUUUUUGACCCAGCAGAAGAACAUAUCCUCACUAUUCUGCUGGAACCAUGGAUGAAGAUGGUAGAAGCAGAUAAAUACACUUACAGAAAGGUGGAGUUGGUGGAAGAAACUCAACAGCUGGACUCCAUGUACUUUAGAGAGCUCCAGGCUUUGCAUCAAGUGAGUAGUUCCAAGAAGGAUGAGAGUACUGUUGCUGACACAGGGGCUCUCGAAGAAGAUCAGCACUUACAUCAAGCUCCCAAAGAAUUGGCAGGUUCUGAUCUAUCUGACCUGAUCCAUGACAAAGAGAAGUUAGAACAGUUCUGGGCUUUUCUUAAUAAGCAUUCUGCUAGCAUGGAUCUCAUGUGCUGGCUAGAUAUUGAAGAGUUCAGAAAGAUGCUCCAUAAGGAUAAAGAAAAAAGUGAUGAAAAAUCUGAAGACAUUAAAACCAAGUACUUAAACGGCAAGUACUUCUUUGGACCCAACAGCCCAGCUACCAGAGAACAACAAGAAAAGCUAAUGCAUUCAGGUGGAGGAAGGAGACAAAGCCUUCAUGAUCAGCUUUCGGCAGCGGCUCUGCUAGAAGUUCAGCAAUGCGUCCAGAAGAGAUUAGAAAAACAAUGGCUGCCAUUGUUCCUGGCAGAGGAACACCAUGGGGUGGAGGGACAAGCAAAGCAUGUGGACAAUAAGAGUGUUUCUCCAUCUAGUGAAACAAUUGCUUUCCGCAAAGCGCUGUUGGAUCCAGUGACAGCAAAUCAAUUUCAACGCUUCGUGGCACUGAAGGGAGACCUACUGGGGAAUGGAGUGCUCUUUUGGCAAGAGGUGCAAAAGUAUAAGGACUUGUGCCAUUCUCAUUGUGCUGAUGCCUUAGUUCAGAAAAAGAUCACAGCUAUUAUUGACUGCUUUAUUAAUUCUGCCGUACCCCCAGCUUUGCAGAUUGACAUCCCACCUGAACAAGCAAAGAAGAUCUUGGAGCGCAGGAGAGAACUGGGACCUUACAUUUUUAGAGAGGCACAGAUGAGUAUUUUUGCUCUUCUGUUUAAAUUUUGGCCAGAAUAUUGUAAGUUCCAAAGCAAUCCGGACUGUGACAAAAUUCUAGUUGGCUUGGAGAAAAAAAAGCAAAAAGAGAUGCGAAAGAAGGAAGGGAUAACAGCAAAGAAUUUGCAGGGUAAAGAAGCGGGGAGAAAUCCCAUGAACUUGGCUCAGCUUAAGUCCUUGUCUCAACUUAAGUCCUUGACUGAACCUAAGCCCUUGACUCAGCCUGAGCCCUUGACUCAGCUUAAGCCCUUGACUCAACUGCCAAGGAGUGUUUUGGUAAAUGAGCUUGAUACGAAGAAAAGAUCAUCAAUAUCUUCAACACAUAGAGAUGGAUAUGGGGGGAAGGCUCGCUUGUCCUAUUUCAAGUAUAUGGAAGCCUUGGAGGAGGAAAGAAUACGUAUUAAAAGAGAAGAAGAUAUGGAGAAAACCUCAUCAUCACUCCCUGCAGGUUCCUUGUCUAUGUCCUUCCUGAAACAUGAAAGUUCUGUGAAAGCCACCAUUCCUACGAAGCAUAAACUCUGAAUCUUGCCAAGAAACAGGAAGUACACUAAAAUCUCUCUGAGGAAGGGAAUGCAGAGACAUUCAAUGGAGGUGGCCUGGAGACACAAAUGUAUUGUGCAUGCAAGGAAAAGCAACUCCUCUUCAGUUUUAAAGGUCCAUCCCUCUCAUUUGAUGUCAGGAUCUGCUGGCUUUGGCAAGGAAGCAAAAGGCUUGAAUGAAUACCUCACUGCACAGGAGGGGCUUGUUUUUUCAAGCCAGGAAUUUAUAGCAUUCAGUGUGAAUCCCACAGAGACUCCCCAGGAAUACAAACCACAAUUCCACGUGCAGGUGGUGGUUAUGUGG